GUCUGCGCAAGCGCUAACCAAGAAAGGACGGUUUCGGGUAGAUUGUUGGUUAAGAAGAAAGCCGGGAAAGUGAAGGAGAGGGGGAAGAAAGGAAGUGAAAAGACUUUGGCUGUUGGAAUCUCAGAUCUGGAAUAGGCUGUAUAGGCUAUUUAUAAUCUCUAAUUGCCGAGGAACCUGAAGUUCAGAGUUAACCAGUGACUGACUCAGGACAUGCAAAAUGGCAAGACCCGAGGUAGAAGAGCUCACCUUUCCUGACUCUCAGUUUCCUGUUCCCUGAAAAUGUAAGCUAAGCUGGCAGCCCUGUCCCAGCAAGGGGGAGGUACAUGGAAGGCCACAGGAAGAAACAAGAUCUUGAGCUGAGCAAGAACAUCCCAGCAUCUUCAUUGACUUUAAAACUAUAUUCUGGAGUCUUCCGUGGUUCACUAUUCCAGUACUACAGAGAUUCCUUAUAUUACAUGGCAGGAGGGGGGUAAACUGAGGGAUAGUGAAGACAACAAUAAAUUAAUCAAGAGCUUUCCUCAUAUCUCAGAACCUAUCCUCUGUAAAA
rnacentral:sRNA from 1 species